UAACAGACAUGGGGAUAUUGCUACGAGGACUGAACCACUACCGUGGUGAGGUAUUUGCCUACCCAAUGUUUUUGCAAAGAGAGUUGUCGAAGAGGGCAAAUGUCACUUUCUUCUGCAUGGAUGUUGUCUGCAGGUACUGGACAUACCUAAGCAAAGUGGCUGAAGAAUCAUCAGAUCUUCAGCCGCUAAUGGAAAUGAGGUCAUUUCUUAGUGUAAUGCAUGCCAAAGCUCAUACAGCGAAAUGCGAGGUGAGAUGGGGUGGCAGAAAUCAGGAUGGAGCAGGGAACACUGUUGGAUAGGAAGUUGAACAAGUAUGCUACUACUUACAUUUUUCUAACUAUGUAGAUAUAGGAGACUUCACUGAUACUUUACCAGCUAACAGAGAAAAGUUCUAAGAACGUUCCCUGAAAGUUCCAAAUGUUCCCAAAAACGUUCUGCCAACAUAGAAAGUGUCCAGUUUUCUAAGAACAUUUCUGUGUUAUCUGAAUGUUAGAGGAAUGCUACAUUUUACCAUUUUCAAAUAUUAUGACUACUGUAUGUCAUGUUUUAAUGUUCACGUGGUGUUUGAAACAACAACAGUUUUUUAAAUUGACUUGUUAUGCUUGAUAUGUAAAUAAUAGAGAAACAUUGCUUUUUAUUAUUUUUAUAAAUUGUUAUUGUUGGGGUUGUGUCUGUGGGUCUCUUGUUUUAUUUGUUGUUUCUUUAUUUGGUUAUUGUAUGGUCAUAUGCCUUGCUGUUUUGUAUUGUUUGUGAUUCCACCUCUGUCAUCUGUUACCUUGGACUCAUUCAUUACAUCUUUUCACUACCCACAUGUGUUUUGCAUUAGUUAAUUAUUGUUCCUGUCUUACCAUUGGUCAUUGCUAUGUAUAUAUUCACUUUCUGUUCACUGGUUUGUCACGGUUCAUUGUGUAUAUGUCGUGAUUUGCCCCGUGUGAUAUCGUGUUUGUUUUUGUAACUGACCUGAGUUUUGUUCAUUAAAUUCAACUGCAAAUGGA